rnacentral:sRNA from 1 species
AUCUAGCCCUGAUAGUAGUGGCAUCUCGUCUUUUGGGACGAGAUAGAACGGAUAGCAGGAAUAGGG